rnacentral:rRNA from 1 species
AACGAACGCUGGCGGCAGGCCUAACACAUGCAAGUCGAGCGAGCAUUUCGGUGCUAGCGGCGGACGGGUGAGUAACGCGUGGGAACGUGCCCUUUUCUGCGGAAUAGUCCUGGGAAACUGGGGGUAAUACCGCAUACGCCCUUUUGGGGAAAGAUUUAUCGUAGAAGGAUCGGCGCGCGUUGGAUUAGGUAGUUGGUGGGGUAAUGGCCCACCAAGCAGACGAUCCAUAGCUGGUUUGAGAGGAUGAUCAGCCACACUGGGAAUGAGACACGGCCCAGACUCGUACGGGAGGCAGCAGUGGGGAAUCUUAGACAAUGGGGGCAAACGUGAUCAAGCCAUGCCGCGUGAGUGAUGAAGGCCUUAGGGUUGUAAAGCUCUUUCAGCUGGGACGAUAAUGACGGUACCAGCAGAAGAAGCCCCGGCUAACUCCGUG